CGUGGCAUCCACCAGAGUGAGACGCAUGGGGCUGUCAGGAACGGCUGGGUACAACUGCACGUGUUUCUAGGGAGCAGGGAUGUGCUGGUGCUUCUUGACAGUUUCUCUUCCAACCACACUUUUGGAAAACAGUUGAAGGACUGCCAAGCUCGGUGGCACUGCGGUGGUUUCCAUUGGUGACAGAAAGAAAGCUAGAGCAGCAGUGUGUCCCCUGGACUGCAGGAUACGGUGUCCACCUGGGAACCCGCCUGGGGAAACAGGAAUUUGGAGGUGAAUAAGUAAAAAUGUGGGGUGUUUCGUUUUCGUCUUCUUUUUUUUAAUAUAUAUAAAACAGGGAAUGCUGCAAGCCUACGUGUGGUUUACUUCAGUGUUAACCCAAGGGUAAACAUCCUCACACUCAAGGCCCAUCUCCCCUGACUGGAGCUCCCCAUUGAAAGAUCCAUGCUUCUGUAUAACGUGUUCUUCAAAAGCCAAAUGGCAAUAAGAAGUUGUCCUACUUAAGCAAGGCACCUAUUUCACUUCUUCCAGCGCGCCCAUAAGAAAAUGGCAGUGCUAAAUGCACUUUGGGAUCAAAGCCCCAUUAAGCAGAACAGAUUCGAUGCACCAAACUGACGGGCUUCUUGCAGAUUUGUUGCUAUGGUGCUAUUGCCUUGAGAAAUUAAAAUAUCCCUCAUCAGCCUCCGUGGGAGCCUACCGGGCAAAGUAACCACCACAAAUUAAUAGAACAUUGUUUUGGCCGCGGUCACCGAGCAGUUAAUUUGCUUUAAGCUUCAAUCAUCCUUAACUUCACGUUUGGCUGUUAACCCACGGACUGAUCAUUAACUGCAUUUAAUGAAUGACUGAUUUCUAAAGGAUUGUUCCAAAGCAAGUUGUUUUUUCCAUUUGUUGCUGAAUGACUCUAAUAUCUCCCAACCAGCACACGGGCGACCUAUUGAUUCCCCCAUAAGAAUCUGAGGCGAAGCAGGGAGGUACUUGCAGGUUAUCUGCCUAUUAGCAGGCUGCUCAGAGCUGAUAAACUUGCCGGGGCUGCAUCCCGCUUUCCAAUUUCACUCAAGCCUUCCAAAGAGGCAGGAGUAACCUGGCUGGGUUGUUGUGGGUCUCAGCUGGAGGUCUUUAAUCAACAUUCCCAGUGAAACCAGCAGGAGUUUGGUUGGCCUGAAACCCAAAUGGGAUUUUGCUGGUAUUUACCUCAGUGCUUGUCCCUUUCAUAGCAGCACAGCUGGUUACGGAUGAAUGUGAUAUUGCUGCAGAAAUGAUCAAAUCUCAGUUGGACUUAUUAUUUUUUUUCUCCCCCCGGGUUUUAAAAUACCUACAGCUGAAAUGUGGCCGCUCGUUUAGGCUGUUUAGAGGCAUCGCUAAUGAAUGAAAGGAGCAAUUUUGUUUUGUUUUGUUUUAUGUAAACAAACCCUUCUGACUCACAGUCCCUACGGUCAGCCACGAGACCAUCCUCCUCUCCCGUCUUAAGGUCCGUAAGGCCCAAGAAGCUGACUCUGACUCACUGAGGAGGGGUGGGGACUGAGCUGUCUCUACAGGAUGAGCCUUUCGUCUGUACAGCACAUACAGAAGUAAAAUGGGAGAAAGCCUCCACUGCACAGGCCCUGAUUUCUCUUUGGGUAUCGCUGGGCUUUGGUUGCUCCCUUUGCUACAAGAAGGGCUUAAGUUCAUAUAUGUAACUGUCUGUUUGAACACCCCUGCACUGAUAGGCGCGGGCAUCGGGAAAUGUGCGUUUAGUUCCACCACUGCUGCAUCUAUGAACCUAAUUUGGAAGCACCCCCGUCACCCCAGUGGAAGUAGAGCACGAUAUGGAACUCCAAGCUUCCUGCCAGCCUUGCAGUGCUAAGAGCUGCCAGCAAUUUCUCGAGAAGUGUUUUCAGCAAAAUAUUUUCUAAUUGAGGAACGCUGAUUCCUUCAAACCAUUGACUUUCUGCUGAGAACCACAAAGGAAAACAUGCCCAAUACGUUUCUCAAAUAAAAGUAAUGGAGAAAAAAUUAAGGACAUCGAACUUGCCUUCGUGUUAUUGGCAUUUAUAAUGGUGUUUUCUUUAUUCAAAUGAUUUCUGCUAUUUAAAUAAUUUUACUUUCAAGUGAACAACAGAAAAAAAAGCCAGCGUGAAAGUAUUGAAAUGCAAUGUUUCAAUUGACUCCCACUGCUUUUUUUGUUGUUUGCCUGCUAACAUUUUCCACGGUUUCAGUUUGCUGCUCCUUUUUGUGACCUCGGGGGUAUUUCUUCCAUUCCAAGUACCUUCUAUUUGCAGAAAACAGCAAGCAGAUCCUUGUGCCCAAGCAGAAAGCAGGGUGAAGCUCCGGCUAAGGCAGGCCAUGGAAACACCAGGAAAACAUUCCCAGUGCAUCAGCACCUGGUGCCAUGGCUUCUGCUCACAGCAGGGCUCUGCCGUGGGUUGUUCAGACCAAGCAUGCCGUGGGCCUCCUGUGAGGAGCUGCCAGCGUGGGGCCCAACAGGACAAGCCAAUGGAUAGGAGCAGGCUGAGAACUGGAGGGACAAUCAUUUUUUUUUCUACGUACGUUUAUUGAAUUUUCCAGUUGCAGAAAUGCAAUCAAGUUCAAUUCACGGUCUGCAGGAAGAAUGUCCCGGUGUAACAAAAGCACAAGGUUUCCAGCAUCCGUUUCUACUGCUCAAAUCUUGCACAAAAGUAUCUAUUACCACACGUUCCAUAGGGAGGGAACGCUCCCGAUGGGGACAGAGCUCCCAGUGAAGUCCUGGGCUGUAGCACUGGGGCCAAGGAGAUGCAGAGGCUGCCGCUGCUGCUGCUGCUUUUACCCAUGCUGUGUCCUGCAUCAAGCAGUGCACAGUAACUUCUGCUGCAUUGUGCACAUCUGUAAAGCUGUCUCCUCAGACUACACCAAGUUCACACUGGAAGGAGUAUUCCAGAUCCCAGCGAGCUCCCAGUUCUGCCAGCAGAGCUGAUAAGGGGGCCUCAGGCAACAAGCCUGAGUAUAGGGACAGCCACCUCUGUGGUCGCAGUUAUCGUUGCUCCUGAGGGCAAUAACCGCAAUAAAGCCCUGAUCU
ensembl:lncRNA